rnacentral:rRNA from 1 species
UAAUACGUAGGUGGCAAGCGUUGUCCGGAUUUAUUGGGCGUAAAGAGCGCGCAGGCGGUGCGCCAAGUCCGAGGUGAAAUCUCCCGGCUCAACUGGGAGGGGUCUUCGGAUACUGGCGGACUCGAGGAGAGCAGAGGUGAGUGGAAUUCUGGGUGUAGUGGUGAAAUGCGUAGAUAUCCAGAGGAACACCAGCGGCGAAGGCGGCUCACUGGGCUCCACCUGACGCUGAGGCGCGAAAGCGUGGGGAGCGAACCGG